AUGCAGUUCUCUCCUGGAGCUGGAGAAAAAAAGCAGACCAACUCAGAGCAAGGCAGAGGCACUAGUCAUCCCCCACAGCCUCCUGCUAUCUCCUUGGAGCAGUUGGUCAGUCCCGAGCAUUUCUCCCCUUUGCUGUCAUCUCCUCUUCAAGGGGCAGUUUCUUCCCUUCAAGAUUUUUUUCUUCCUUUUUCUUUUUUUUCUCUUUUCUUUUUUAUUUCUUUAUUUCUUUCUUCUUCUUUUUUUCUUUUCAGGAAUUUAAUGUUUUUGACAGUUUUCUCAUUUAAUAUCCCACAGGUUCACUGGAAAUGGCCGAGGGAAACAGGAGGUUUCAGUGACCAGCAAAUGACAAGAAGAGGGGAAGAGUUAAAGAAACUAUUGUACACAUCUCCAGGGCUUGGAGUGAUGCCAAGGAGAGCCGAGGAUGGAGAUUCUCCCCACUAUCAAAGAAAAAUAAAAGAGUGAUGGGCAAGUCAAAACUGUUGAAGCUCUGAAAUUUUCAGCUGUGUUGCCGCAGAUGUAGGAUGACCAAAUCAAAGAAGUUCUUCAUGAUCACUUUUCCAACAGAUUGUGCCAGAGACACUGUGAGGUGAUGACACGGCUGAGAGCCAGACCCUGUGAGUUUCUAAGUACCUUCUGCUCCCAGUGACAGCUUUGGAGGGUGAAAGCAUUCAGCACUGAAGAUGAUCUUGUUCUCUUCAUAGUUUACUUCUUGUAUAGUCAUUCUUAUCAUUGUAGAAUAUCUAAAACGCACAAUAGUACUUUUCUCUGCCUUAAACAUAUCCCACAACCUAUUUCUGUGAACCAGAGUGGAUGCAGCUACUUCAGCCAAGGUGGAAACACGCUGGCAGUGGCCAAUCUUGAUGACUGACCUUUGUUCUGUUAUAAACACCAUUAAUUCAUACAGGGUCCAUAUGGCAAUUUUCUUCCUCCCCCUUCUCCCUUUCCUUCUUCUGACUGUCCAAAAGUCUGGAGUUUUGUAUGUCUUUUGCAGUGCAUCCCCACGAGUAUUUCAGUUCUGUUGGCACUUUCCAUAGCAGUAUUAAUAAUGACAUUUAGCUGGCAUGAGGCCAGUUGUAAAAGUUUAUGGAGUAAUUUUGUAAUAGAGCUGCAAGAGCUUAGCAAAAACCCAGCAGGUGAACAAGAUUUCUCCCUCACUCCUUUAAAAUAAAAGCUCUCCCAUUCUGCA
rnacentral:lncRNA from 1 species